UACAGAGGUCCCAAGCGUUGUUCGGAUUCACUGGGCGUAAAGGGUGCGUAGGUGGCAGGGUAAGUCGGAUGUGAAAUCUCCGAGCUCAACUCGGAAAUUGCAUUGGAAACUACCUUGCUAGAGGGUUGGAGGGGGACUGGAAUACUUGGUGUAGCAGUGAAAUGCGUAGAUAUCAAGUGGAACACCAGUGGCGAAGGCGAGUCCCUGGACAACUCCGUGACACUGAGGCACGAAAGCUAGGGGAGCAAACAGG
rnacentral:rRNA from 1 species